rnacentral:rRNA from 1 species
CAAAAACAUCACCCCCCGUAUACACAUAAAAUGGGGGGCACUGCCUGCCCAGUGAAUUUAUUUUAAACGGCCGCGGUAUCUUAACCGUGCAAAGGUAGCAUAAUCACUAGCCCUCUAAAUAAGGGCCGGUAUGAACGGCAACACGAGGGCUAGACUGUCUCCUCUUUAUAACAUGAAACUUCUUUGGCCGUGCAAAAGCGGCCAUAAAAGCGCAAGACGAGAAGACCCUAUCGAGCUUCAGGGGUAAAAGAAUGACUAAAAAUUAUACCUAGCUGAGUAAAACAUAAUUUUUUAUUUAAACACAGUCUAUAAUUUAUUUUCUAACUCUUUUUUACCCCUUUGGUUGGGGCAACCACGGAGAAAAAACAUCCUCUAAAUCAAAUUACUUUUAAAAGACAUUACGUCUUAAUCUCGAUUCUCAUGAUAUAUGAUCCGAUCAACUCGAACAACAAACAAAGUUACCGUAGGGAUAACAGCGUAAUUCCUCCUAAGAGCCCACAUUGCCGGAGGAGUUUGCGACCUCGAUGUUGGAUCAGGGUAUCCCGAUGGUGCAACCGCUAUCUAAGGUUGGUCUGUUCGACCAUUAAAACCCCACGUGAUCUGAG